AUUCCAGCUCCAAUAGCGUAUAUUAAAGUUGUUGCAGUUAAAAAGCACGUAGUCGAACCUUGGACGCGGAUUUCCGGUCUGCCGAAAGGCAUGUACUGGCAAGCCGCGUCUUCCUUCUGGGGACUGUCGUUUUGCGGCAGAUAACCAGGACUUUUACUUUGAAAAAAUUAGAGUGUUUAAGGCAGGCAGUCGCUUGAAUACAUUAGCAUGGAAUAAUGGAAUAGGACUUUGGUUUUAUUUUGUUGGUUUCUAGGACCAAAGUAAUGAUUAAUAGGGACAGUUGGGGGCACUAGUAUUGAGCUGUCAGAGGUGAAAUUCUUGGAUUUGCUCAAGACUAACAACUGCGAAAGCAUCUGCCAAGGAUGUUUUCAUCA
rnacentral:rRNA from 1 species